UACGUAGGGGGGGCGAGCGUUGUCCGGAUUUUAUUUUGGCGUAAAGAGCGUGUAGGCGGUUUUGGUAGGUCCGCUGUGAAACUCGAGCUCAACCUCGAGACGCCGGUGGAAACCAUCAGACUAGAGUCCGGAAGAGGAGAGUGGAAUUCCUGGUGUAGCGGUGAAAUGCGCAGAUAUCAGGAAGAACACCCCGUGGCUAAGGCGGCUCUCUAGUACGGUACUGACGCUGAGACGCGAAAGCGUGGGGGGGAGCGAACAGGAUUUAGAAACCCCCCCGGUUAGUCAGACCCCAAGUCUCUGCUACCCCGUAAUCACCGACUGCCCCCCCCAUAGAGAGGCUGAGACUGCCCCAAGG
rnacentral:rRNA from 1 species